rnacentral:rRNA from 1 species
GGACUACUGGGGUUUCUAAUCCCUUUCGCUCCCCACGCUUUCGUGCCUGAGCGUCAGAACUCUUCCAGUAAGCUGCCUUCGCCCUUGGUGUUCCUCCAGAUAUCUACGCAUUUCACUGCUACACCUGGAAUUCCGCUUACCUCUCCGAGCCUCUAGCCAACCAGUUUCAGGCGCAGUUCCGGAGUUAAGCCCCGGGAUUUCACACCUGACACAAUUAGCCGCCUGCGCACCCUUUACGCCCAGUGAAUCCGAGUAACGCUCGCAGUCUCCGUAUUACCGCGGCUGCUGGCAC